rnacentral:rRNA from 1 species
AUUGAACGCUGGCGGCAGGCCUAACACAUGCAAGUCGAGCGGAUGAAGGGAGCUUGCUCCUGGAUUCAGCGGCGGACGGGUGAGUAAUGCCUAUGAAUCUGCCUGGUAGUGGGGGAUAACGUCCGGAAACGGGCGCUAAUACCGCAUACGUCCUGAGGGUGAAAGUGGGGGUUCUUCGGACCUCACGCUAUCUGAUGAGCCUAGGUCGGAUUAGCUAGUUGGUGGGGUAAAGGCCUACCAAGGCGACGAUCCGUAACUCGUCUGAGAGGAUGAUCAGUCACACUGGAACAGAGACACGGUACAGAGUCCUACGGGAGGCAGAAGUGGGGAAGAUAGGAAAAUGGGGGAAAGCAUGAUAAAGCGAAGCAGCGUGUGUGAAGAAGGUCUUCGGAUUGGAAAGCACUUUAAGUUGGGAGGAAGGGCAGUAAGUUAAUACAAUGCUGUUUUGACGUUACCAACAGAAUAAGCACCGGCUAACUACGUG